rnacentral:rRNA from 3 species
UCAUUAGUCAGAUAAGGUUCCUUGGCGAAAAGCGGGUCGGUUUUAAUGGAUAACUGUGGUAAUUCUAGAGCUAAUACAUGCAACGCACCGUGGUCCCCCUCUCUCUCUUCGGAAACUCAGGGGGGGAAACGGCAUUUAUUCUCUGGACCAGAUCGCCCUAGCCUGCGAAGCUACCGUUAAAAGUAGCGACGGGGCGAAGCGACAAGUGUUGAAAUCCGAAUAACUGUGCCGAUCGCGGGGUCUUUCCGGGCCCCCGACGACUUUGCCAUGAAGUGUCUGUCCCAUCAAUUGGCGAUGGUCGGCGACCUGCCUACCACGGUGUUGACGGGUAACGGGGAAUCAGGGUUCGAUUCCGGAGAGGGAGCCUGCGAAACGGCUACCACCUCCAAGGAGGGCAGCAGGCGCGCAACUUACCCAAUCCCGACACGGGGAGGUAGUGACGAAAAAUAACGUGGCGGGGCCCUUUCGUGGUCGCCGCGGGCGGAAUGAGCGCAAUUUAAAAGAGUGUGCGAGGAGCUAUUGGAGGGCAAGCCUGGUGCCAGCAGCCGCGGUAAUUCCAGCUCCAAUAGCCUAUAUCGGAGUUGCUGCGGUUAAAAAGCUCGUCGUUGGAUCUCGGAGGCGGCACGGUCGGGCGCGAUACGCUGCGGGUCCGACCGGCGAUUUCUCGGCCGUCCCUAACCGGCGCGCG